AGUGAACGCUGGCGGUAGGCCUAACACAUGCAAGUCGAACGGCAGCACAGUAAGAGCUUGCUCUUACGGGUGGCGAGUGGCGGACGGGUGAGGAAUACAUCGGAAUCUACUUUUUCGUGGGGGAUAACGUAGGGAAACUUACGCUAAUACCUCAUACGACCUACGGGUUAAAGCAGGGGAUCUUCGGACCUUGCGCGAUUGAAUGAGCCGAUGUCGGAUUAGCUUGUUGGCGGGGUAAAGGCCCACCAAGGCGACGAUCCGUAGCUGGUCUGAGAGGAUGAUCAGCCACACUGGAACUGAGACACGGUCCAGACUCCUAAGGGAGGCAGCAGUGGGGAAUAUUGGACAAUGGGCGCAAGCCUGAUCCAGCCAUACCGCGUGGGUGAAGAAGGCCUUCGGGUUGUAAAGACCUUUUGUUGGGAAAGAAAAGCAGCAGGUUAAUACCCCGCUGUUCUGACGGUACCCAAAGAAUAAGCACCGGCUAAAUUCGUG
rnacentral:rRNA from 1 species